rnacentral:rRNA from 1 species
AGGACGAACGCUGGCGGCGUGCUUAACACAUGCAAGUCGAGCGGUAAGGCCUCUUCGGGGUACACGAGCGGCGAACGGGUGAGUAACACGUGGGUGACCUGCCCUCAGCUCUGGGAUAAGCCUGGGAAACUGGGUCUAAUACUGGAUAUGACUGCGCAUCGCAUGGUGUGUGGUGGAAAGUUUUUUCGGCUGGGGAUGGGCCCGCGGCCUAUCAGCUUGUUGGUGGGUGAUGGCCUACCAAGGCGACGACGGGUA